CGCGUGGGUAACCUGCCCUUUUGUGGGGAACAACUUCGAGAAAUCGGAGCUAAUACCGCAUAAUAAUAGAGGAUCGCAUGAUUCUUUAAGGAAAGAUGGCCUCUGAAGAUGCUAUCGCAAAAGGAUGGACCCGCGUCUGAUUAGCUAGUUGGAAGGGUAACGGCCUACCAAGGCAAUGAUCAGUAGCCGGCCUGAGAGGGUGAACGGCCACAUUGGGACUGAGACACGGCCCAAACUCCUACGGAAGGCAGCAG
rnacentral:rRNA from 1 species